UAACCCCGGGGAGAGCGCAACCGUAAUGGUCGCACCGUUUUGCCGUGUCGACUACUUUGCCGACUGUUACCAGUUACCAUGAAUGUGGUGUGUCCAAUUUUUGUUUACUAUCUGUCGUCGAGUGUUGAUUGUUUGAUACCAGUAUACACUAUCGUGUUCACUUCUUACCGUCACUGACCGCGUUUCUCCUGUCCGUCCGAUGGUGAUGUUCAGAAUUACUUGUGAGUUUUGACAGUAUUGGGAUUUGAUUAGUUUUUCUUUCUAGUAUUACUUGUUUACAUUGACAUACUCAUCUAAGUACUUCCAAUGUGUAUAUUACGAUCGUUAAAAACAUUAAAUUGACUUACAGCCGUCGGUCUUGGUAUGAGUUUAAACCAGAGACAACAUUAAAUAAAUCGGAAGUCUUGUAAACGUAAGACAUUUUCCACUUACCAGCUUUAUGUUGUACACUAUAUUUAUAAAUUUAGUAAAAUGAUCAAGAUUUUC
rnacentral:misc_RNA from 1 species